rnacentral:lncRNA from 1 species
GCCAUCAAGCUCUAGAGGAUCCUCAGUGAGAGAUAUGACCUCUCAAUAUUCAAGAGUCACUCAUCUACAGGGGACCCUAGACUGCCCAGCAGUGAGACAUGGCAGGUGAAGUCCUGCCCCUGUCUCCCUUGGACCUGACUGGAUACAGCUUUCAUGAACCCAUGGAGCCAACCCUGCCCUGACAGCUAGCAAGAGGCCAAGACCAACAGUACAACUACAAUCAGGAAUGCGACUGUUAAGAGAAGAACACCUCAAGUGAGCAUGCGCAAAAUUUUGAGUCUCACUCUGUUGCCCGGGCU